rnacentral:rRNA from 1 species
UACGUAGGGAGCAAGCGUUGUUCGGAUUUACUGGGCGUAAAGGGCGCGUAGGCGGCUUAACAAGUCACUUGUGAAAUCUCCGGGCUUAACUCGGAACGGGCAAGUGAAACUGUCAAGCUAGAGUGCAGAAGGGGCAAUCGGAAUUCUUGGUGUAGCGGUGAAAUGCGUAGAUAUCAAGAGGAACGCCUGAGGUGAAGACGGGUUGCUGGGCUGACACUGAGACGCGAAAGCGUGGGGAGCAAACAGG